UUGAAUCAAACUAAGAUUUUAUUUGAGUUAGAAACAACCAAAAUUUUAGUUUGUGAUAAACCAACUUCAUGUGUUUUUUCUGCGAAAGCAAGAUUAGUCAGCUGAAAUGUAUAAUAAGUAACUGCAGUUUAUUCUUUAUGAAAAGCAUUUCAAGUAAAGUUGCGUGUGAAGAUUCUAUGACAACGAACAAGAAAUGCUGCUGCUGACGCCUUAUUUUUCUUUCGAAUUGCUCACCAGAGAGACUGGAGAAAGUGACUAACCAUGACGCUAUUUAGUAAUUUUUGGAGGAAAACGGCGUGCAGCUUUUCGCUCGAUAUGAAGAGCCUGGUGUUUCAAUUAUUUCAAUAAUUUAUCUUAGAAUACAUGUAUUGCAAAAACCUAAAUAAAUAAUACGCCAUGUGAGAUUUUUGUUUUCAUCAAUA